CCACACACCACUACAUCAGCGGUGAGGACGUCUGGGAGCCGUAUCUGGGAGCCGUAUCUAAACAGACAUGUUUAUACCAGCAUGGGAUUCUCUAUGAUUUCAUUAAUGAAGGCUCCUAUCUAUAUAUAGGAAAUCUAAGUAAUAAACAAGGUAAACAUCCAAGCAGUAAUAGCAAUUAACCACUCUGUAUGUAAAUACACAUGGAGUGUGCAUUUAAUAUAGAUACAUUUAUCCUCACACAUUUUUACCUUAUAUUUUCUAACCAGAUUGCUCUAGAGGCAAGCAAAUAUAGAUACUAUGAUCUCUCAUUUAGAAGCUGCGAAUAUACAAGAUUGCACUGGCUCCCAGACCAAGCUUUAAAUGGUAACCCUUUCAUAAAAGAAUGUUCACAUCCGUUCCUGAAGAAGCCAAAUGGUGAAACAUGUAGACCGAUUUAUGCUGAACAUGAACUUGAAGAAUAUCACUCAGGCAUAUUUUUCAGUUACUGUAUUUCUUGAACAUUUUUUUAUGUAUUAACAAAAUAAAAUAUCUUUUU